GAUGAACGCUGGCGGCGUGCCUAAUACAUGCAAGUCGAUCGAACGGACGAGAAGCUUGCUUCUCUGAUGUUAGCGGCGGACGGGUGAGUAACACGUGGAUAACCUACCUAUAAGACUGGGAUAACUUCGGGAAACCGGAGCUAAUACCGGAUAAUAUUUUGAACCGCAUGGUUCAAAAGUGAAAGACGGUCUUGCUGUCACUUAUAGAUGGAUCCGCGCUGCAUUAGCUAGUUGGUAAGGUAACGGCUUACCAAGGCAACGAUGCAUAGCCGACCUGAGAGGGUGAUCGGCCACACUGGAACUGAGACACGGCCCAGACUCCUACGGGAGGCAGCAGUAGGGAAUCUUCCGCAAUGGGCGAAAGCCUGACGGAGCAACGCCGCGUGAGUGAUGAAGGUCUUCGGAUCGUAAAACUCUGUUAUUAGGGAAGAACAUAUGUGUAAGUAACUGUGCACAUCUUGACGGUACCUAAUCAGAAAGCCACGGCUAACUACGUG
rnacentral:rRNA from 1 species